rnacentral:rRNA from 1 species
GAACGAGAAAGUGGAGCAAUCCAUGAGUACAGUGGCGACCGGGUGAGUAACACGUGACUAACCUACCCUCGAGCGGGGGAUAACCCCGGGAAACCGGGGCUAAUACCGCAUAACGUAUUCGAUGCGAAAGUAUUGAGGAUCAAAGGAGCAAUUCACUUGAGGAGGGGGUCGCGGCCGAUUAGCUAGUUGGCGGGGUAACGGCCCACCAAGGCUGAGAUCGGUAGCCGGCCUGAGAGGGCGCACGGCCACACUGGAACUGAAACACGGUCCAGACUCCUACGGGAGGCAGCAGUGGGGAAUUUUGCGCAAUGGGGGGAACCCUGACGCAGCAACGCCGCGUGGAGGAUGAAGUCCCUUGGGACGUAAACUCCUUUCGACCGGGAAGAUAAUGACGGUAUCGGAAGAAGAAGCACCGGCUAACUUUGUGCCAGCAGCCGCGGU